UGACCUCGGAUCAGGUAGGAAUACCCGCUGAACUUAAGCAUAUCAAUAAGCGGAGGAAAAGAAACCAACAGGGAUUGCCCUAGUAACGGCGAGUGAAGCGGCAACAGCUCAAAUUUGAAAUCUGGCUCUCGGGCCCGAGUUGUAAUUUGUAGAGGAUACUUUUGAUGCGGUGCCUUCCGAGUUCCCU
rnacentral:ncRNA from 1 species